rnacentral:misc_RNA from 1 species
GAUGAAGAACGCAGUGAAAUGCGAUAAGUAAUGUGAAUUGCAGAAUUCAGUGAAUCAUCGAAUCUUUGAACGCACAUUGCGCCCGCCAGUAUUCUGGCGGGCAUGCCUGUCUGAGCGUCAUUUCAACCCUCAGCCCCCGCUCGCGGGGCGCUGGCGUUGGGGAUCGGCCGUCCUCGCGGCGGCCGGCCCCGAAACACAGUGGCGGUCUCUCGCGGACUCCCCUGCGUAGUAGCACUACCUCGCAGAAGGGACGAGCGGGCUGACCACGCCGUAAAACCCCCCACUUCUCCAGGUUGACCUCAGAUCAGGUAGGAAUACCCGCUGAACAUAAGCAUAUCAAUAAGCGGAGGA